GGGUGGUUGGCAUAGCGGCUUGUGCAGCUGGCUUUUAACCAGCACCAGAUAGGUUCGACUCCUAUACCACCCA
rnacentral:tRNA from 1 species